rnacentral:sRNA from 1 species
CGGAACAGCACUUUCAAGUUGGCAUUUUGAAAACAGAAAAGGAAGGGCAGAAAACCUGUCAAAGCAAAACACAGCAUCCAGAACUGAUGAAAUGAUGAAGAUAGAUACACUUCCAUUUUCUUUUCUGAAGCAUGGAGAGUAAAAUAUUACUUCAGUGAACACCCCCAAGAGAAGCGUUUUGUGAGGGCUCCCACUAGGUCACCAAGCUUGUAAGUUUCUGUUUGGAAGCUGCUUAUCUACCAUCUGCAGAGCAGGCUUGGGGGAAAGAGGCCCCAUGCUGUGAAACAAAGCUGCUUAGUGUCUGCAUGGGCACCUACAAGGCAGUUACUGACUGUUCCCUUGAUUAAAAAUACUCAAAGUAUUUUCAUUUAAAGUGAAAAGAGAGAAGCUGAGGAGCAGCAGGUGUAUUUAAGGCUGCAGGACUCUCCAGGCAAUUGCACUCAUUAUCUAGGAACACCUCACUGAUGCCCUGCUUCCUCUCCCAGCACAGUUCUCUGACUGCUUUUUCCCAGGAGCAAUCCAGGAUGUCUUUGCCUGCAGUUGGAUAGCAUCUACCUCACACACAGCAUAAUGUUCAGUUCCCCAAGUGGUUUGGGUUUGGCUGCUCUCUGAAGAUGGCAUCUUACGCUUUUGUCUCCUUGCUAGUAAUUGCAAAAGCAUGGGGGAAGAAAUCUUUAUUCCAAUUGUAAAAUUAAGUUCAAAACGACAGCCGAGUUAGUUAGAACAAAGGCUUCUCUGGUCCAGUUUUUUCCAAGAACAUUGUAAAAGAAUGAGUUUUGGGAUUUUUGUUUGUUUUAUUUUGUUUUUAAUGCCUGUAGUACCAGAGACUAGAUUUGGGACUUGCUUCAGUAACUAAGUUAGCUCUUCACCUGGGUUCAACAUCUUUUCCAAUUAUGCCUCAGCUCAAGCUCUUAGAAAAUGAGACUUCUAAAUCUGCUGGGCUGUUGUAGCAGUUCCAAGAGCUAUCUGCAGCCAAGCACCUUAGAGGCUACCUGUUAGCUUAGAGAUCAUGCAUAUUCCAAUGUUCUCUGGAGUUUGGAAGAUUUCUGUAGUAUCUAGAAGCUUCCAGAGCCAGAGAACUCACUUUGUUCUCAGAGGCAGUAUGUGUCAUUGUCAGACAAAAAGCAAUUGAUUUGUGUGUAGCAAGCCCACUGUGGGUUCAUGUCUCAGGAGCUUUCUAAUUAUAGUAUAUGUUUCCUUCCCAACCACUAUUUUAUCAUGAACUGAGCUCUCCUUUCUUGUCGAUUUUCUCCCAACCUUUGUCUUCCUUUGAACCCUGCCAUCCUUCAUUACUGAGGAAAGGAAGAUUGUAGUGGUGUGUGACUACAGACUCAACUCUGAAGCUCUGAGGCUUUCAUCUAGCGGAACUAUAUUGAGAAGCUGACAUGAUGAGUCCACAAAACAGGGAAAGUUCCCUGGACUGAGAACAUGGGCAUAGUGUGAGCUCAGCCGAGCAGAAUGAAAAUCUUCUUGGACUGUGCAACAUGUUUCACCUCAAUUAAGCUACAGGAACAUAAUUUCUUCUAGAGAUUUGGGCAUUUCCAUUUAGACUGACUUUAGAGCCUCCAGGAUCCACCUGUCUUCAACUUCCUAGGACUGGAAUUGUGAACGUAUCCUAACAUGCCAACUCUUCCCAUGAGUGCUGGGAAUCAAAUUCAAUUCGUCAUGCUCGGAAGACAAACACUUUACUGACUGAAGCAAGAGGCAAACAAAAAUUAAUAAAAAUACAAAACACAAGCGGUUUGGGAUGAACAAGGGGAUCCACGACUGAAGCAGGGGCAUGUGGAGCUGAAGGGUGAAAGUAAGUGCAGCAUCAAGAGCACCCUUUAGCACCAGCUAAGCCUGGAGCUUCUAUUUGAGAACUAGUUUGAUUUGUCCAUGUUCGAUGGCAUGGAGAGGAGCCUCGCAUGGCCUUCCUUUGAGAGGCUCCAUCUAAGAACUGACUCAGAGAGAUGAAAGCAUUGGAUGGAGUUUGGGGACUCUUAAUGGAAGAAUUGGAGGAAGGAUUGAGUAAUGGAAUAGGAACUCCAUAGGAAGAUCAACAGAGUCAACUAACCUGGAAUUGUUGGAGGAUCUCAGAAACUGAACCACCAACCAAACAACAUACAUGGGCCCGACCUAGAUCUGCAGAUGUGCAACUUGGUCUUCAUGUGGGUUCUGAACAAUAGGAGCAAUGGUUCUCCCUAAAGCUGUUGCCAGUCUGUGGAAUUCCAGAGUAUGUUUUAUCUAAGGAUGAAUUUAUUCAUUAAUUGAAAAAAUGCUUCUUCCUAGCCACUGCACUAACAAGGCUUUCUUGCUGCCUGUGGGUUCUCUGCCUUGGAUGGGGAAUUUUCAUCUGCCAUGUAACAUUACAAGCCUCACUGAGCCUCACUGUCACUGCUCUGUUAAACAAAGGCUCUUUGUCUUUGACUCCCCUCACCAUUCAUACCAGUCUCCCCCCUCCCACAGCCUGUCAUCCUUUACUGUUUCCAACAUACACAAUAAACUUUGAUUUAUCUAACACACACACACACACACACACACAUACACACACACACAUACACACACACAAACUUAUUUGUGUGCUGGAAGUGUAUGUCAGUGGUUAAACAUGCACAUGACUAUAAUGUACACAGUACCCUGAGCUCCAUCCCCCAACACCACAGAAAAUUUUGUAUUCUGUUUCAAUUUUAUAGUCAUACAUCAUUCGCAUUUCACCAGAAAAGGAUUCUAAGAAGUUAAUGACUAUAAUGUAUGUACAACUGAAUAAUAGUAACACAAAACACAUUGCCUAUUGUACAUACUCAGUGUUUGCUUAGUGAAUGGAUAGAUUCACUAAUUAAUAUGCAUCUGCAUAUUAAUUGCAUGCCAGGAGAAAGUUAAGAAUUCCAUGUGUUUUGUUUUGUUUUGUAUUUUUAAUUUUGUCAUCAUAACAAUUUUAUGGGCAUGAAUCAUUAGUCUCAUUUUAUAGAUAAGGAAACAACCUAAAAUAUUGUGAUAGUCUAUCCAGAACACCGUUAACAAACAAUAUUGUGAUUUGAUGUUUUAUUAGCCAGUCAUACUAAUGACAUUUAUAAUCCAGUUAUCUAGUAUUUAUUGAAUCAAUGCUAUCAUACAUUGCUCUUUCACACAGCUGGAAGGCGAUGGUUUCUUGUGUUCAUUAGGUGUGCUCUUUAACAUGUCCUAUGAAUAUGACAGUCUGAAUGGCGAUAAUAAGAGUUUGUCUUCUCAGUUCUUUACUUAUCUCCCUCCCUAGCCAACUGAGGAAGUAAACAUACAGAAAAGCUUCUCCUUUUCUGGAAACAGUCUGAACAAAAUAAAAAUCUCCUUAUAUCUCA